GGGCGAAAACUUUACAAUGCUGGCAACAGCGAUAAGGGAACCUCGAGUGCCAGGUUACAAAUCUGGCUGUCGAGAUGCCUAAAAAGCAUUUCAUAGCAAGGGCCGGGCAAGACCGGUGCCAGCCGCCGCGGUAACACCGGCGGCUCGAGUGGUAACCGUUAUUAUUGGGUCUAAAGGGUCUGUAGCCGGCCGGAUAAGUCUCUUGAGAAAUCUGGCAGCUUAACUGUCAGGCUUUCAGGAGAUACUGUCUGGCUCGAGGCCGGGAGAGGUGAGAGGUACUUCAGGGGUAGGGUGAAAUCUUGUAAUCCUUGAAGGACCACCAGUGGCGAAGGCGUCUCACCAGAACGGACCUGACGGCAAGGGACGAAAGCUAGGGGCACGAACCGGAUUAGAAACCCC
rnacentral:rRNA from 1 species